CUAGUACUCCCUCCGCCCCGAAUUACUUGUUGUAAAAAUAGAUAAAAAUAAAUGUAUCUAGAAUUAAAAUACUCUAGAUACAUUUAUUUACGCGACAAAUAAUUCCGGACGGAAGGACUAUUUC
rfam:Triticum urartu cultivar G1812 contig968325, whole genome shotgun sequence.